UGGGGAAUUUUGGACAAUGGGCGAAAGCCUGAUCCAGCAAUGCCGCGUGCAGGAUGAAGGCCCUCGGGUUGUAAACUGCUUUUGUACGGAACGAAAAGCCUGGGGCUAAUAUCCCCGGGUCAUGACGGUACCGUAAGAAUAAGCACCGGCUAACUACGCGCCAG
rnacentral:rRNA from 1 species